rnacentral:piRNA from 1 species
UGCACCACCAGGGAACACAGGACAGAAGUC